GGGGUCAUAGCUCAGCAGGAUAGAGCAACAGAUUCCUAAUCUGUAGGCCGGAGGUUCGAAUCCUCUUGACCCCA
rnacentral:tRNA from 2 species